AUACGUAGGGGGCGAGCGUUGUCCGGAAUGAUUGGGCGUAAAGGGCGCGUAGGCGGCGCGGUAAGUCUGGAGUGAAAGUCCUGCUUUCAAGGUGGGAAUUGCUUUGGAUACUGCCGCGCUUGAGUGCAGGAGAGGUUAUCGGAAUUCCCGGCGUAGCGGUGAAAUGCGUAGAGAUCGGGAGGAACACCAGUGGCGAAGGCGGGUAACUGGACUGCAACUGACGCUGAGGCGCGAAAGUGUGGGGAGCAAACAGGAUUAGAUACCCUGGUAGUCCACACUGUAAACGAUGAAUGCUAGGUGUAAGAGGUAUCGACCCCUUUUGUGCCGGAGUCAACACAAUAAGCACUCCGCCUGGGGAGUACGGCCGCAAGGUUGAAACUCAAAUGAAUUGACGGGG
rnacentral:rRNA from 1 species